GUUAGGCAGGCAAGGCAGUAGGGUUAAACUGGUUAACAGAGUGUGAUUUUUGUUCUCAUGCAGAAGACCAGCUAUGUUUUCCGUUGUCUGCUUUGACAAUUCCGAGGAGGUGGAGGUUGUGCCAACGCAAUGGUACAAUAAUGGGGCGUGCAGGUGGCCCCCCCACAAGGCUGAGGGAGUCAAUCGGGCCAUAAGGCAGCUGGAAGAGCCCCAGGAUAACUGGCCUCUAUUUGACAAUGCCAGGGUUUUUUUUCUUCAGGUAUGUAUACUUAAAUAAUUAACUGAUCAGUCAUGAUAUCAAUAAAUACAAUCCUAAAUUCGAGUUCUGUUCAACAGAUAACUAUCUGGAGUGUCGCCAGAAGCUGCCACUGGCUCAAAACCAGACCGAUUUGGCAUCAGAGGUCGAAGACCCAACAACAGACCGGAGACCCAAAAGAAAAAUCAAGCCAAGUAGACACGUCCGAUCGGACUUUGAAAGUCAAGACCCCUGCAGUCCUCCAAAGAAACAGGCCUUCCAAAUCCUCCCUAAGGCCCCUGCUAUCUCUGGACCGUCCAACUUCAGGCGCAUACUAGCGCAGCCCACGCAAAGUGGGUGUUAUGAGGUCCCUGUGAACAAUGAGCAGCCUCAGGGUUUUCAGCACUUAAUGACCCUGGGGUCAACCCUUCGCCAAGCAAUUGGCGUGAGUUAUGGUGGAGGUGACGUGGCAGAGACAGGGUCAGAGGAGGUGAUGGUAGGGACACCUUAUUCGGGCCAGUCUGUCAGUCCAGGGACAGGGACUCAGAAGGGAGGCUGUGAUCAAAUGUGUGGAAGUAAGAAUUAAUGUGUUACACUCCUCCAGCCUUCGAUUGAUAUAUGAGUGAUAUAUAUGAGUAUAUAUCCUUGGAAUAGAAUAGAUAAAUAGACACAUACAUAAAUAAAUAUGAAUGUACAUACAAAAAUACAUGCG